rnacentral:rRNA from 1 species
UACAGAGGUGGCAAGCGUUGUUCGGAAUUACUGGGCGUAAAGGGCGCGUAGGCGGUCCGAUAAGUCCUGUGUGAAAUCCCUCGGCUCAACUGAGGAACUGCACGGGAGACUGUCGGGCUUGAGUUCGGGAGAGGGAAGCGGAAUUCCGGGUGUAGCGGUGGAAUGCGUAGAGAUCAGGUGGAACACCGAUGGCGAAGGCAGCAUCCUGGCCGGAGACUGACGCUGAGGCGCGAACAGCGUGGGGAGCAAACAGG